AAUUAAGUGGAAAAAACAUGAGGUAUGUUAUUCUAAUUUUUUAUUAUUUUGAUGCAUUUAUAUUGAUGCUUAUUAAAAUUAAUAUGUAAUAUGACUAAUUGUAUAAUUACCUCUAUGAACAAGUGUCCUCGUCAAUCCCAAGAAUCUUUGGACUGUGGAUAUUAUAUAUGUCGAUAUAUGCUCGAGACUAUAGAGAAAAGGCGACAAGUGAUUCCUGAUAAGUACUUUGGCGGAGUUACAACUGAAUUUCCUCAAAACAAGCUUGACGAGUUGAGAGACUUAUGGAUCAAAUACGUGGAGGAAUAUAAACAAGCGGAAGAAGUGGAAUCUGAAGAAAGUGUCGAUUUUGAUUAGGUGUUAAGCAGGAUUAGAUAGGUAAUUAGUUAGAACAAUGAGUUGAUUAAUUUACUCUGCAUAUGAGUUGAAAGAAAUAAUGGCUGCUUUAGGUAUCUUUUGAGAAGUUGAUUUUUUGAAUCUUCAUAUAUCGAUAUUAUUUUGUAAUGAAUUAUGGUAUUGCAUUAAUGAAAUUUUUGUCAAGUUAUAUAAUAA